rfam:Rattus norvegicus chromosome 20, whole genome shotgun sequence.
GGGGAUUUAGCUCAGUGGUAAAGCGCUUGCCUAGCAAGCGCAAGGCCCUGGGUUCGGUUCCCAGCUCCG